rnacentral:lncRNA from 1 species
AAGAAAGAAAAAAGAAUUAAUGAAUAAAAAAUGAAAGAAAAGAAGAUAAAGAAUAAUUAAUGAAGAAAAAAAAAGAGUAAGAUUCAUUUGAAGAAAAAGAAGAUGAUGAUUGAGAAGAACAAAGAAGAAGAAAAGAAAAAACCUAAUUGGACGACGAAUGAUGGACGAUGAAUUAUUGAACGGAAAGUUUAAUCGCGGAUUUUAUGUGAUGUUAGUUUUAACGACGAAUUUUAUGUGUUAUUAAUUUUAACGGCAGAUAAAAUUCUUUGUUAGUUUAAGAACAUGUCAAAAUUCGCUAUUAGCUUAUUUAUCAUUAUUUAACUUAACGAAGAAUUUGUAUCCGCUGUUAGGAUUUUUAACAGCGGCGUAACCACCGUCCAAAUAGAUAAAAAAUCACUGGUAACCAUGCAGUUUCUUGUAGUGAUAAUAGAUAUCCAAGAGUCAAACAUGUUAUAAAAUAGGCAUUUUC